rnacentral:tRNA from 1 species
GCCUUCGUGGUGUACUGGUCAGCACUACGGAUCUUGCGUAUUCGAAAGGUCCGUGGUUCGAAUCCCGGCGAGGGUA